CGCAAGCUCUUUUUUCGAUAUGAACUCUAAAAAAGAAUUACGCUGUUAUCCCUAAGGUAAUUUAAUCUUAUAAUCAAAAAUAUUGGAUCACUUACUCAUAUAUCAAUGUAUUAUAUAUAAAAAAAGUUAAUUUAAUUUUUUAAUUGCCCCAACCAAAUAUAAAUAUAUAUAUUCAAAUCUUUAAUUCUUAAACUUUCAAAUAUAUAUAGGGAUAUAAAAUUCUAUAGGGUCUUCUCGUCUUUUAAAAUUAUUUAAGCUUUUUUACUUAAAAAUAAAAUUCUAAUAUAAAUUAAAUCGAGACAGUAUUUCCCUCGUCAAACCUUUCAUACCAGUUCUCAAUUAAAAAACUAAUUAUUAUGCUACCUUUGCACGGUCAAAGUACCGCGGCCAUUUAAAAGUAAUUAUUCAUCGGGCAGGCCAGACUUUAUAUUAUAAUCAAAAAGCCAU
rnacentral:rRNA from 1 species